UACGUAGGGGGGCUAGCGUUGUCCGGAAUCAUUGGGCGUAAAGAGCGUGUAGGCGGCCCGGUAAGUCCGCUGUGAAAGUCGGGGGCUCAACCCUCGAAUGCCGGUGGAUACUGUCGGGCUCGAGUGCGGAAGAGGCGAGUGGAAUUCCUGGUGUAGCGGUGAAAUGCGCAGAUAUCAGGAGGAACACCAAUUGCGAAGGCAGCUCGCUGGGACGUUACUGACGCUGAGACGCGAAAGCGUGGGGAGCAAACAGG
rnacentral:rRNA from 1 species